rnacentral:rRNA from 1 species
AUGUACCGUUGUGCUGUGGUCUUUCUGAUCGUGGUGGCCGCCUGCACUCCGGCCAUGAGCAGCUUUUGGCAGCAGGCCCUCCCGGGCACGCCGAUGCCAGAGGCCAUCGCAGACCUUGUGCCGAAAGGCAUCGAUGAUGCGCCUCAAGUGGAGCGCUACCCUGCAUUCCCCAGCAUCAGUUUGUGCGGUGCUUGGACCGGCAUGUGUACGGCGAGCUUGGCGGCACCGACGGGCAUCUUCUUCUACGAGGCACAGCUGCGUCCGGGCAGCACCAUGACUAUGUCCUUCCCUGCAGAAGCUGAGCCGCCCAUCCUCCCACACGACCUCGCGGAGAAGGUCCCCUUCGCAAACCGAAGCGCCGUCCUCACCACCUUCAGCAUCCCAACAGGCUCCGCCGAGGCAUCCCACGUGGCGAAAACACUGAGCCUGUGCCAGUCGCUGCCGCACGCCGGCGAGGUUAGGGUCUGCACCACGUCGCUGGAGAGCACCGUGCGGAGCGCCAUGAACAUGCUAGGUGGUCGCUCCACCGGUGGUGACCAUGGUAUGUGGACCGCCACGUCGGUGCUCCCGGCCGGCGGCGGCCUGCCACGUCAGCUGUACAAGGUCCAGGCGGUCACCAAGCUCCUUGGUGACUACUUCGUCGGCUGCCACAAGAUGCCAUUCCCCUACCGCGUUUACCAGUGUCACAUGACGGCCGGGCUCACGGACAAGGGUUAUGUGGUCUCGCUCCGGGGACUCGUCGGCGGAGGACCGACAGCCAAGUUGUUAGCAUUCUGCCACUUUGACACGUCCAAGUGGAGCCCGGCUCAUCCGUCGUUCGAGGUGCUAGGUACACACCCUGGAACGCCGGUGUGCCACUUCAUGCCCUACGCCAAUCCGGUGUUUGGCAUUGGCAAGAAGGCAACCAAACCGUAG